rnacentral:rRNA from 1 species
CAAUAGCGUAUAUUAAAGUUGUUGCGGUAAAAAAGCUCGUAGUUGGAUUUCUGUUGAGAGCGACCGGUCCAUACCAUGUAUGCGUAUCUGGCUUGCUCUCGGCAUCCUCUCGAUAGACGUUACUGCGCUUGAUUGCGUGGUGCGGCUCUCGGGACUUUUACUUUGAGGAAAUUAGAGUGUUCACGGCAGGCUUUCGCCAGAAUACAUUAGCAUGGAAUAAUACUAUAGGAUCUUGGUUCUAUUUUGUUGGUUUCUAGAAUUGAGAUAAUGAUUAAUAGGGACAAUUGGGGGCAUUCGUAUCAACACGUCAGAGGUGGAAUUCUUGGAUUGUGUUGCGACGAACUACUGCGAAAGCAUUUGCCAAGGAUGUUUUCAUUGA